rnacentral:rRNA from 1 species
UGCGCAGGCGGGAAAGCAGGUCAGAUGUGAAAACCCAAGGCUUAACCUUGGGCCUGCAUCUGAAACCACUUUUCUUGAGUAUCGGAGAGGAAAGCGGAACUCCUGGUGUAGCGGUGAAAUGCGUAGAUAUCAGGGGGAACACCGGUGGCGAAGGCGGCUUUCUGGCCGAAUACUGACGCUCAUGCACGAAGGCCGGGGGAGCAAACA